GGAUUAGUUAAAGCCGGCACAUGAUCUUAGGUUGGCUAAUCAGAGGCCAGCCUUGCUUGCACUUUGGAAAGAAGGAGCUCUCCUUAGGCUGGGAGGGGCCAAGCUGCUGGCCUGUGAGCCUGGGGCAGCCGGGAACUGUGCUUGCUGUCGUUGAGGAGAAUGCAGCCAGCUCAGGGCAAAUUAGAGCCAGGCAGGAAGAAGACCUCCUUGAGAAGAAGAUGGGAAGUAUUCCCUGUGAACCCAUGAGACCUCAUCCCUGUGUUGGUCUGGCUGGCUUUCCCUGUGAGACACAGGUUCCUCCAGAAGAGCUGGAGCUCCAUUCCAGCUCUAGACUUCUCCUUGCUUCCAGACUUCAAGAUGAGAAGCAUCUUUCCAGUCCACAAGUGUUAGAGGACACUGCCGAUGAUGUGUGUUUUGCCCAGGCUGGACUCAGCUUCUUUGUCUGGCAGGAUUUGGAGAAACAGAAAGUUAAGUGACUUGCCCAAGUAAAGCAGAAGCUGUCAGUUGCCUACUCUGUGGAUGAAGACAUUAAUACAGUUUUACUUUAUGCCAUGGCUUUAACUCUCCAUUCAUUUCCUGCUUUUGUUGUUAUUGGG
rnacentral:lncRNA from 1 species